GAUCGGUAAAGAACUCCACAGUGGCUCGUCUCUUCUUACCCAUCCAAGAAUCCCUUCUGGAGCAGAAGGGUGAAACCAUGAUGGUUUUCGAGGUCCGCAGGCCCCAGCUCGAGCGGCGGAACCCCGCGGCAUUCCGUCGGAUCCUCCUUCUGCUGCUAUUCUUCUCCCUCUUACUUUCGGUUCCGGUUUCCGUCCGCUGCUCUUCUUCUUCCACCAUGCACAACAACAACUGGGCCGUCUUGGUUUGCACCUCCCGAUUCUGGUAACCCACCUCUAUCUAUCUGGUGUUUCUUGAUUAUUUUUUUUUUCGUUUAUUUUCCCUUUUUUUUUCUUGAUUGUUGUGUAGUUUUAGAUUCCUCGUAUUUUGAAUGCUUCCUUUAUAUACUAAUGUCGAAUUAUUUGGCAUGGGGCAGGCUACCAACGAAGGCGUGAGUCUUGAUUUCAAUAGACAGUCUUCUUAGAUUUUGAUUUCCUUUGAAGAAAGCUCUAUACUAGUGAAUUACAAGGGAGGGCACGGGUUGAAUCUUGAUUUCAACGGGUAGUCUUGUUAGGUCUUUUUAUUCAGUGCCGUCUUUGGCGCUGCUCGAUAUUUGGCGGUUCAGAGAAGGCGGAAUCUUGAUCUCAGUCAUGGGCAAUAUCAUUAGGUAUCGAUUCCAGUGGAGGCGAUCUUGUCAUCUCCAUCCUUCAUCUAGACAACUUUCAAAUGUAGGGAGGUUCAGGCAGAUUACUCCUUCUUUCGACGGGUUCACUGUGAAAAAUAAGUUCCCAGUUUGCCAGCCAUCAUACUAGAUUUUUGGUGGGUUUGUUCUUGCUCAAAAUUUCCUUGGCGGUAAAUGCAUUGCAAAUUCUUAGAGGGUCGACGUUGGUUAGACAGCUAGUUGUUAAAAUAUGCUUAAUCUAUCCAUGGAACCUCUUUGAUUUAUAGUUACGCCCCAUAAUCAACCCAUUUUAAAUGAAAGAAUCUGGAAAAACUGUAGUAACAAUGAUUUUUGGGGAUCAAAGCAUAUUAGCGGUCUUCACUUAACUGACAGGAUAUAUAUUUUUGCCAGUGUCAUUUACUCUUCAUUGGUGACAACUAAGAACAAGAGGAAUUUGUGGAAAGAGAUGUGAGACAGUACAGGAGAUGGUGGCAAAAGAUAAACCUGGGACCACUGUUUUUCUGAGGGAGAUAUAACUUAUUUAGGAAAUUGCUGGUUUCUGCAUAUCAAGAAAGGAUAUUCCUAGGGUGUUAAUUUUUUUAUUAAUCUUUUUUCUGCAAACAAGAGUAAUAAGGAGGCGAGGUAGGCUUGUGGGGCCAGAAUCAAUAAGGGAUCACUCAGUUCUCAGAAAUUUAUUCGAAUGCAAAGGACA
rnacentral:lncRNA from 1 species